rnacentral:misc_RNA from 1 species
GAUGAAGAACGUAGUGAAAUGCGAUAAGUAAUGUGAAUUGCAGAAUUCAGUGAAUCAUCGAAUCUUUGAACGCACAUUGCGCCCGCCAGUAUUCUGGCGGGCAUGCCUGUCCGAGCGUCAUUUCAACCCUCGGGACCCUUCGGGGAACCGGUGUUGGGGACCCGUCCGCCGACCCACGGCGGCCGGCCCCGAAAUACAGUGGCGGCCCUGCGGCGACCUCCUCUGCGUAGUAGCGAUACCUCGCAGCUGGAAAGCGGCAGCGGCAACGCCGUAAAACCCCCACUUCUAUGGUUGACCUCGGAUCAGGUAGGAAUACCCGCUGAACUUAAGCAUAUCAAUAAGCGGAGGA